GACGAACGCUGGCGGCGUGCCUAAUACAUGCAAGUAGAACGCAGUUGCGCACGGGUGAGUAAAGCGUAGGUAACUGCCUCAUAGCGGGGGAUAACUAUUGGAAACGAUAGCUAAUACCGUCUAUUGUGAGAUGGCCCUGCGUUGUGUUCACGAGUUGGUGAGGUAAAGGCCCACCAAGGCGACGAUACAGGGCCGCCCUGUGAGGGUGAUCGACCAAACUGGGACUGAGACACGGCCCAGACUCCUUCUGGGGGCAGCAGUAGGGAAUCUUCGGCAAUGGACGGAAGUCUGACCGAGCAACGCCGCGGGGGUGAAGAAGGUUUUCGGAUCGUAAAGCUCUGUUGUUAGAGAAGCGGUAACUAACCAGAAAGCAACGGCUAACUACGUGCCAGCAGCCGCGGUAAUAC
rnacentral:rRNA from 1 species